rnacentral:tRNA from 1 species
GCCUGGGUGGCUCAGUCGGUUAAGCGUCUGACUUCGGCUCAGGUCAUGAUCUCAUGGUUCAUGGGUUCAAGCCCCGCAUCGGGCU